GACGAACGCUGGCGGCGUGCCUAAUACAUGCAAGUCGAACGCUGCGGGGACGGGUGAGUAACACGUGGGUAAUCUUCCAUCAGAGGGGAUAACACUUGGAAACAGGUGCUAAACCGUUACUGAUGGAUGAACCCGCGGUGCAUUAGCUAGUUGUUGAGGUAACGGCUCACCAAGGCCACGAUGCAUAGCCGACAUGAAAGAGUGAUCGGCCACACAGGGACUGAGACACGGCCCAGACUCCUACAAGAGGCAGCAGUAGGGAAUCUACGGCAAUGGACGAAAGUCUGACCGAGCAACGCCGCAUGAGUAGAGAAGGUUUUCGGAUCGUGAAACUCUGUUGUUAGAGAAGCGGUAUCUAACCAGAAAGCCACGGCUAGCUGCGUUCCGACAGCCGCGGUAAUUC
rnacentral:rRNA from 1 species